UAACACGUAGGGUCCGAGCGUUGUCCGGAUUUAUUGGGCGUAAAGGGCCCGUAGGCGGCUUGAUAAGUCGGGUGUGAAAACUCCAGGCUCAACCUGGAGACGCCACCCGAUACUGUCAUGGCUUGAGUCUGGUAGGGGAGUGCGGAAUUCCUGGUGUAGCGGUGAAAUGCAUAGAUAUCAGGAGGAACACCGGUGGCGAAGGCGGCACUCUGGGCCAGUACUGACGCUGAUGGGCGAAAGCGUGGGGAGCAAACAGGAUUAGAUACCCUGGUAGUCCACGCCGUAAACGUUGGGCACUAGGUGUGGGGGGUUUCAACGCCCUCUGUGCCGUAGCUAACGCAUUAAGUGCCCCGCCUGGGGAGUACGGCCGCAAGGCUA
rnacentral:rRNA from 1 species